GUGUAAGGAACUCUUCCUCUCUUGAAGUACACAGUUUCAGGUUCCCAGGAAUGGAGUGAAAUCAGUUUGGACUCCCACAAAUUCUGGUGUCAGAACAGAGUCAAGAGAAAAGGAUCUGUAGUCGGUGUAGCAGUGACUAGAACUACAAGAGUUAACAGGACAACAUCGUUCCAGUUUCUGAACAAUUUUGGGUGAUACACCACUGUGAUGAUAUUAAAGAAGAGCUAGAAGUCCUUAGAUGCUAUUGGUUAAUAAAGAAUUAUGCACAUCUGCCCCUGCA